rnacentral:misc_RNA from 1 species
GUGAGUCAUCGAAUCUUUGAACGCACAUUGCGCCCAUUAGUAUUCUAGUGGGCAUGCCUGUUCGAGCGUCAUUAAGUCCACUUAAGCUCAGCUUAGUGUUGGGAGUCUACUGCACGUCUGUGCUGUAGUUCCUCAAAGACAGCGGCGGAGCCGUGGUUUCCUCUGAGCUUAGUAACUCUUCUAGCUUUCGAGUGACCACUGCCCCCAGCCGUUAAACCCCCAUCUUUUGUAUGGUUGACCUCGGAUCAGGUAGGAAUACCCGCUGAACUUAAGCAUAUCAAUAAGCGGAGGA